GUGUAGGGAGAAGGCCACAGAACAGAACAGCUGCUGCACACGUUUCUGGAUGAGACCACGACCCGCACGCCCGACACAAAGCAGGAAAGCCGCGCCUAGGACUAUGUGGCAGAGAUGUUGAUCCCACUCAGAGGGCAGACCCACAGGCUAGAAGAAACAUCAUCCAAUCAUCUGUAAACAAUUUCUCUAUUGUCUUAUUAAAAGAUGCAGGAGGAAAAAAUUGAUGGAAAUGUGAAAAUGAUUUUUCCUCAUUAAUAAGCAACAACGA